rnacentral:rRNA from 1 species
AUGAACGCUGGCGGCGUGCCUCAUACAUGCAAGUCGAGCGAACAGAUGAGGAGCUUGCUCCUCUGACGUUAGCGGCGGACGGGUGAGUAACACGUGGAUAACCUACCUAUAAGACUGGGAUAACUUCGGGAAACCGGAGCUAAUACCGGAUAAUAUAUUGAACCGCAUGGUUCAAUAGUGAAAGACGGUUUUGCUGUCACUUACAGAUGGAUCCGCGCCGCAUUAGCUAGUUGGUAAGGUAACGGCUUACCAAGGCAACGAUGCGUAGCCGACCUGAGAGGGUGAUCGGCCACACUGGAACUGAGACACGGUCCAGACUCCUACGGGAGGCAGCAGUAGGGAAUCUUCCGCAAUGGGCGAAAGCCUGACGGAGCAACGCCGCGUGAGUGAUGAAGGUCUUCGGAUCGUAAAACUCUGUUAUUAGGGAAGAACAAAUGUGUAAGUAACUAUGCACGUCUUGACGGUACCUAAUCAGAAAGCCACGGCUAACUACGUG